CCUUGGUGCUAUCGCGAAGUGGAAACACCUCUUCCCAUUCCGAACAGAGCCGUUAAGCACUUCAGCGCCGAUGAUACUUGGACCGCAAGGUCCCGGGAAAGUAGGCCAGUGCCAAGGA
rnacentral:rRNA from 1 species